rnacentral:rRNA from 1 species
GUGGGGAAUAUUGGGCAAUGGGGGAAACCCUGACCCAGCAACGCCGCGUGAAGGAAGAAGGCUUUCGGGUUGUAAACUUCUUUUAUGAGGGACGAAAAAAAUGACGGUACCUCAUGAAUAAGCCACGGCUAACUACGUGCCAGCAGCCGCGGUAAUACGUAGGUGGCAAGCGUUAUCCGGAUUUACUGGGUGUAAAGGGCGUGUAGGCGGGAAAGCAAGUCAGAUGUGAAAACUAUGGGCUCAACCCAUAGCCUGCAUUUGAAGCUGUUUUUCUUGAGUACUGGAGAGGCAGAUGGAAUUCCUAGUGUAGCGGUGAAAUGCGUAGAUAUUAGGAGGAACACCAGUGGCGAAGGCGAUCUGCUGGACAGCAACUGACGCUGAGGCGCGAAAGCGUGGGGAGCAAACAGGAUUAGAUACCCGAGUAGUCC